GACGAACGCUGGCGGCGUGCUUAACACAUGCAAGUCGAACGGAAAGGCCCUGCUUUUGUGGGGUGCUCGAGUGGCGAACGGGUGAGUAACACGUGAGUAACCUGCCCUUGACUUUGGGAUAACUUCAGGAAACUGGGGCUAAUACCGGAUAGGAGCUCCUGCUGCAUGGUGGGGGUUGGAAAGUUUCGGCGGUUGGGGAUGGACUCGCGGCUUAUCAGCUUGUUGGUGGGGUAGUGGCUUACCAAGGCUUUGACGGGUAGCCGGCCUGAGAGGGUGACCGGCCACAUUGGGACUGAGAUACGGCCCAGACUCCUACGGGAGGCAGCAGUGGGGAAUAUUGCACAAUGGGCGGAAGCCUGAUGCAGCAACGCCGCGUGCGGGAUGACGGCCUUCGGGUUGUAAACCGCUUUCGCCUGUGACGCAGCGGGAGUGACGGUAAUGGGUAAAGAAGCACCGGCUAACUACGUG
rnacentral:rRNA from 1 species